UUCUCCUGGUAGUUGGCCACAACACAAGGUUUCGAGCUCUUCAACCGAUUUUUAGAAGAUCUAUUGAAGUAAUAAGUAGGUAUUUUAAGGCUGUGUUGUAUGCUGUUGGAGAGUUGCGAGGUGAGAUGAUCCGUCCUCCCUCCACUAAUAUACACCCUAAAAUUCAGGAGAACACCCGCUUCAAUCCUUACUUCAAGGAUUGUAUUGGAGCAGUUGAUGGAACACAUGUCAUGGCUAGAGUCCCAGCAAAGAUCUCGUCCGCCUUUAGGGGUAGAAAAGAUGGUACUACCCAAAAUGUUAUGGCUGCGGUCGACUUUGAUUUAAAGUUUACCUAUGUACUUGCUGGUUGGGAGGGGUCAGCCCAUGAUGCCCUCAUACUUGCGGAUGCUGUGCAGAGGGAUGAUGGGUUGUCACUUCCUCCGAGAAAAUUCUAUCUUGUUGAUGCCGGGUAUGC